UUGUGCAGGACACAGAGGAGCUUAUGGUU
rnacentral:piRNA from 1 species